UUGGAGGGCAAGUCUGGUGCCAGCAGCCGCGGUAAUUCCAGCUCCAAUAGCGUAUAUUAAAGUUGUUGUGGUUAAAAAGCUCGUAGUUGAACCUUGGGCCUGGCUGGCCGGUCCGCCUCACCGCGUGCACUGGUCCGGCCGGGCCUUUCCCUCUGCGGAACCCCCAUGCCCUUCACUGGGUGUGGCGGGGAAACAGGACUUUUACUUGAAAAUAAGAGUGCUCAACGGCGAGGCCGUACUGCUCGAAUACGUUAGCAUGGAAUAAUAGAAUAGGACGUGUGG
rnacentral:rRNA from 1 species